AUUGAACGCUGGCGGCAGGCCUAACACAUGCAAGUCGAACGAGUGGCGGACGGGUGAAUAAUGUCUGGGAAACUGCCUGAUGGGGGGGGAACAAUACUGGAAAGGGUAGCUAAUACCGCAUACCCUCAGAUGUCCCCAGAUGGGAUUAGCUAGUUGGUGGGGUAACGGCUCACCAAGGCGACGCUCCCUAGCUGGUCUGAGAGGAUGACCAGCCACACUGGAACUGAGACACGGUCCAGACUCCUACGGGAGGCAGCAGUGGGGAAUAUUGCACAAUGGGCGCAAGCCUGAUGCAGCCAUGCCGCGUGUAUGAAGAAGGCCUUCGGGUUGUAAAGUACUUUCAGCGGGGAGGCGUUACCCGCAGAAGAAGCACCGGCUAACUCCGUGCCAGCAGCCGCGGUAAUAC
rnacentral:rRNA from 1 species